rnacentral:lncRNA from 1 species
AUGAGGCCACACAGGGGCGUGGCAAAGGCAUCAGGUACGGGCAGGAGGUCACACAGGGGCGUGGUUUUCCAGUUCACAAAUCUGAUCAAUUUUAACCUGUAUGCCUGCCUACUUCAUCCCCACAGGGCCAGGCACCCAGGAGGGCCCAGCAAUCUGCGAGAUGCAAGAAUGAAUGAAGCGUACAGGAGUGAAGGAGGAGCCUGCCCUCAUGGGGGGUUCCUGGGCCAGGCCCUGGCCCUUUCUACCACCUGCUCUGUGAGUUUGGGCUUAGUGUCCGAGCCCGGGAAGCAGACACGUUUACCAGGAAAGUGGCAUAGGCGGGCUGGCACCACGCCAGAACUUCACGCCUUCAACACCAACACUCAGGGCUGGCGCUGUGGUGUAGCUGGUAAAGACACUGCCUGCAGUGCCGGCAUCCCAUAUGGGCGCCAGUUCAAGACCCAGCUGCUCCACUUCCAAUCCAGCUCUCUGCUGUGGCCUGGGAAAGCAGUAGAAGAUGGCCCAAGUGCUUGGGCCCCUGCACCUGCAUGGGAGACCCGGAAGAAGCUCCUGGGUCCUGGCUUUGGAUCGGUGCAGCUCCGGCCAUUGCGGCCAUUUAGGGAGUGAACCAGCGGAUGGAAGACCCCCUCUUCUUCUCUGCUUCUGUAACUCUGCCUUUUAAAUAAAUAAAUAAAUCAUAAAAAAAAAACA